AUUGAACGCUGGCGGCAGGCCUAACACAUGCAAGUCGAGCGGCAGCGGAAAGUAGCUUGCUACUUUGCCGGCGAGCGGCGGACGGGUGAGUAAUGUCUGGGAAACUGCCUGAUGGAGGGGGAUAACUACUGGAAACGGUAGCUAAUACCGCAUAACGUCGCAAGACCAAAGAGGGGGACCUUCGGGCCUCUUGCCAUCAGAUGUGCCCAGAUGGGAUUAGCUAGUAGGUGGGGUAACGGCUCACCUAGGCGACGAUCCCUAGCUGGUCUGAGAGGAUGACCAGCCACACUGGAACUGAGACACGGUCCAGACUCCUACGGGAGGCAGCAGUGGGGAAUAAUGCACAAUGGGCGCAAGCCUGAUGCAGCCAUGCCGCGUGUAUGAAGAAGGCCUUCGGGUUGUAAAGUACUUUCAGCGGGGAGGAAGGCGCUGAGGUUAAUAACCUCAGCGAUUGACGUUACACGCAGAAGAAGCACCGGCUAACUCCGUGCCAGCAGCCGCCGUAA
rnacentral:rRNA from 1 species